GUAGGUGGCAAGCGUUGUCCGGAAUUAUUGGGCGUAAAGCGCGCGCAGGCGGUUCUUUAAGUCUGAUGUGAAAGCCCACGGCUCAACCGUGGAGGGUCAUUGGAAACUGGAGAACUUGAGUACAGAAGAGGAAAGCGGAAUUCCACGUGUAGCGGUGAAAUGCGUAGAGAUGUGGAGGAACACCAGUGGCGAAGGCGGCUUUCUGGUCUGUAACGGACGCUGAGGCGCGAAAGCGUGGGGAGCAAACAGGGAUUAGAUACCCUGGUAGUCCACGCCGUAAACGAUGAGUGCUAAGUGUUAGGGGGUUUCCCGCCCCUUAGUGCUGCAGCUAACGCAUUAAGCACUCCGCCUGGGGAGUACGGCCGCAAGGCUG
rnacentral:rRNA from 1 species